CCUACGGGAGGCAGCAGUGGGGAAUUUUGGACAAUGGACGCAAGUCUGAUCCAGCCAUGCCGCGUGUGGGAAGAAGGCCUUCGGGUUGUAAACCACUUUUGUCAGGGAAGAAACGGCUCGGGUUAAUACCUUGGGCUAAUGACGGUACCUGAAGAAUAAGCACCGGCUAACUACGUGCCAGCAGCCGCGGUAAUACGUAGGGUGCAAGCGUUAAUCGGAAUUACUGGGCGUAAAGCGUGCGCAGGCGGUUAUGCAAGACAGAUGUGAAAUCCCCGGGCUCAACCUGGGAACUGCAUUUGUGACUGCAUGGCUAGAGUACGGUAGAGGGGGAUGGAAUUCCGCGUGUAGCAGUGAAAUGCGUAGAUAUGCGGAGGAACACCGAUGGCGAAGGCAAUCCCCUGGACCUGUACUGACGCUCAUGCACGAAAGCGUGGGGAGCAAACAGGAUUAGAUACCCUGGUAGUCCACGCCCUAAACGAUGUCAACUGGUUGUUGGGAGGGUUUCUUCUCAGUAACGUAGCUAACGCGUGAAGUUGACCGCCUGGGGAGUACGGCCGCAAGGUUGAAACUCAAAGGAUUGACGGCGNGAGAGNGCGACGACGACGACGAGGAGGAGG
rnacentral:rRNA from 1 species